rnacentral:rRNA from 1 species
UACGGAAGGGGCUAGCGUUGUUCGGAAUUACUGGGCGUAAAGCGCGCGUAGGCGGCUGGACAAGUGAGGCGUGAAAGUCCUGGGCUCAACCCGGGGACGGCGCUUCAGACUGUUCGGCUAGAGUCCGGAAGAGGGUGGUGGAAUUCCGAGUGUAGAGGUGAAAUUCGUAGAUAUUCGGAGGAACACCGGUGGCGAAGGCGGCCACCUGGUCCGGUACUGACGCUCAAGUGCGAAAGCGUGGGGAGCAAACAGG